rnacentral:rRNA from 1 species
AUUGAACGCUGGCGGCAGGCCUAACACAUGCAAGUCGAACGAGUGGCGGACGGGUGAGUAAUGUCUGGGAAACUGCCUGAUGGAGGGGGAUAACUACUGGAAACGGUAGCUAAUACCGCAUACCAUCGGAUGUGCCCCGAUGGGAUUAGCUAGUAGUUGGGGUAAAGGCUCCCCUAGGCGACGAUCCCUAGCUGUUCUGAGAGGAUGACCAGACACACUGUAACAGAGACACGGUCCAGACUACGACUGGAGGCAGAAGUGGGGAAUAUUGCACAAUGGGAGCAAGCCUGAUGCAGCCAUGCCGCGUGUAUGAAGAAGUCCUACGGGUUGUAAAGUACUUUCAGCGGGGAGGCGUUACCCGCAGAAGAAGCACCGGCUAACUCCGUGCCAGCAGCCGCGGUAAUAC